UAGGCAGAAGCCUGCAGGAUUGGGCAUGUAGCUGUUAACUAUAGUAUUAUGGGAUCGAGGCCCAUCUGCCUAG
rnacentral:tRNA from 1 species